rnacentral:rRNA from 1 species
GAGGCAAACCGGGGGAACUGAAACAUCUAAGUACCCCGAGGAAGAGAAAUCAACCGAGAUUCCGAAAGUAGCGGCGAGCGAAAUUGGAUUAGCCCUUAAGCUUUUAAUGAGACAGACGAAGGCUCUGGAAAGUGCCGCAAUAAAGGGUGAUAGCCCCGUAGUCGACAUCUCAUCAUCAGUGAAAACGAGUAGGGCGGGACACGUGAUAUCCUGUCUGAAUAUGGGGGGACCAUCCUCCAAGGCUAAAUACUACUGACUGACCGAUAGUGAACCAGUACCGUGAGGGAAAGGCGAAAAGAACCCCUGUGAGGGGAGUGAAAUAGAACCUGAAACCGUGUACGUACAAGCAGUAGGAGCACCUUCGUGGUGUGACUGCGUACCUUUUGUAUAAUGGGUCAGCGACUUAAUUUUAGUAGCAAGGUUAACCGUUUAGGGGAGCCGUAGGGAAACCGAGUCUUAACUGGGCGUACAGUUGCUAGGAUUAGACCCGAAACCAGGUGAUCUAGCCAUGGGCAGGUUGAAGGUUGAGUAACAUCAACUGGAGGACCGAACCGACUAAUGUUGAAAAAUUAGCGGAUGACUUGUGGCUAGGGGUGAAAGGCCAAUCAAACCUGGAGAUAGCUGGUUCUCCCCGAAAGCUAUUUAGGUAGCGCCUCGGACGAAUACUACUGGGGGUAGAGCACUGUUAAGGCUAGGGGGUCAUCCCGACUUACCAACCCUUUGCAAACUCCGAAUACCAGUAAGUACUAUCCGGGAGACACACGGCGGGUGCUAACGUCCGUCGUGGAGAGGGAAACAACCCAGACCGCCAGCUAAGGUCCCAAAGUAUAGCUAAGUGGGAAACGAUGUGGGAAGGCUCAGACAGCCAGGAUGUUGGCUUAGAAGCAGCCAUCAUUUAAAGAAAGCGUAAUAGCUCACUGGUCGAGUCGGCCUGCGCGGAAGAUGUAACGGGGCUAAGCUAUACACCGAAGCUGCGGCUACG